GUGUUAUAGUAGAUGUGUCUUUAUUGUUACAGUAUAUGUUGUCUUUAGUGUUACAGUAUAUGUUGUCUUUAGUGUUACAGUAUAUGUUGUCUUUAGUGUUACAGUAUAUGUUGUCUUUAGUGUUACAUUAGAUGUGUCUUUAUUGUUACAGUAGAUGUGCCUUUAGUGUUACAGUAGAUGUGUCUUUAGUGUUACAGUAUAUGUUGUCUUUAGUGUUACAGUAGAUGUGUAUUUAGUGUUACAAUAGAUGUGUCUUUGGUGUUGUAGUAGAUUUAUCUUUAGUGUUACAGUAGAUGUGUCUUUGGUGUUGUAGUAGAUGUUUUCUUUAGUGUUACAGUAUAUGUGUCUUUAGUGUUACAGUAGAUGUGUCUUUAGUGUUGUAGUAGAUGUUGUCUUUAGUGUUACAGUAGAUGUGUAUUUAGUGUUACAGUAGAUGUGUCUUUAGUGUUACAGUACAUGUGUCUUCAGUGUUACAGUAGAUGUUGUAUUUUGUGUUAAAGUAGAUGUGUAUUUUUUGUUACAGUAGAUGUGUCUUUAGUGUUACAGUAGAUGUUGUAUUUAGUGUUACAGUAGAUGUAUCUUUAGUGUUACUGUAGAUGUUGUCUUUAGUGGUACAAUAGAUGUGUAUUUAGUGUUGUAGUAGAUGUGUCUUUAGUGUUACAGUAGAUGUGUCUUUGGUGUUGUAGUAGAUGUAUCUUUAGUGUUACAGUAUAUGUGUCUUUAGUGUUACAGUAGAUGUGUCUUUAGUGUUGUAGUAGAUGUUGUCUUUAGUGUUACAGUAGAUGUGUAUUUAGUGUUACAGUAGAUGUGUCUUUAGUGUUACAGUACAUGUGUCUUCAGUGUUACAGUAGAUGUUGUAUUUUGUGUUAAAGUAGAUGUGUAUUUUUUGUUACAGUAGAUGUGUCUUUAGUGUUACAGUAGAUGUUGUAUUUAGUGUUACAGUAGAUGUAUCUUUAGUGUUACUGUAGAUGUUGUCUUUAGUGGUACAAUAGAUGUGUAUUUAGUGUUGUAGUAGAUGUGUCUUUAGUGUUACAGUAGAUGUGUCUUUGGUGUUGUAGUAGAUGUAUCUUUAGUGUUACAGUAUAUGUGCCUUUGGUGUUGUAGUAGAUGUUGUCUUUAGUGUUACAGUAUAUGUGUCUUUAGUGUUACAGUAGAUGUGUCUUUAGUGUUGUAGUAGAUGUUGUCUUUAGUGUUACAGUAGAUGUGUAUUUAGUGUUACAGUAGAUGUGUCUUUAGUGU
rnacentral:lncRNA from 1 species